UGGAAUUCCAGGUGUAGCGGUGAAAUGCGUAGAUAUCUGGAGGAACAUCAGUGGCGAAGGCGACUCCCUGGCCAAAGACUGACGCUCAUGUGCGAAAGUGUGGGUAGCGAACAGGAUUAGAUACCCUGGUAGUCCACACCGUAAACGAUGAAUGCCAGUCGUCGGGCAGUAUACUGUUCGGUGACACACCUAACGGAUUAAGCAUUCCGCCUGGGGAGUACGGUCGCAAGAUUAAAACUCAAAGGAAUUGACGGGGGCUCACACAAGCGGUGGAGCAUGUUGCUUAAUUCGAAGCAACGCGAAGAACCUUACCAGGGUUUGACAUGCACGGAUUACCUCUAUGAAAGUAGAGUUACGCUCGCAAGAGUGGAACGUGCACAGGUGCUGCAUGGCUGUCGUCAGCUCGUGCUGUG
rnacentral:rRNA from 1 species